AGCAUGUUAGCUCAGGGGAAGAGCGCCGGGCUCAUAACCCGGAGGUACGUUUCACCGAAACCAGGUUUCCCAUUCGAACAUCAAACUAACUCACAAUAGGACCCUGGAUCGAAACCAGGACAUGCUA
rnacentral:tRNA from 1 species